CCCAGGCCCGCCCACCCUGGUGGACCGUGCGGCCAAGCACGCCCACCCCCGGACACUGGCUGCCCGGUCCCGGAUCCCCAAGGGCGACGUUUCUAUUUGGGAUCCACAACAGGUGCCUGAGAAACAAAGCCGCAGAUCGCUCCACCGCUGUGCGCAGCCCCCUGCUGAGGGGCCAGCGGCUCUCCCUGGGACCCCAGAACCUUAACACAAUUCUGAGGUGGAAGAAAUGGGGAACACCAGGCCUGGCCUCAUGGAGACCGGGGAGUCAGAACCUGAGCACAGGAACCAGCUACAGAAUUUGCAAGUGGAGAAUCCAGUGGGUGGGCCUUCUCCAAUCAGGCCUUAAGAGCAAAGACCAUGGUUUCUCAAAGAAAGAAUUUUCCUCAAGACUGCAACAUAGAGACCUUGCCUGAGUUUCCAGCCUGAUACCCUGAAGAAUUUGGACUCAAGACUGCAAUAUCAGCUCUUUCCUGAAUUUCUAGCCUGCUGGCCUGCCCUACAGAUUUUAGAUCUCCCAGCCCAAUUGCAUGAGCUAAUUCCUUAAAAUAAAUAAAUCUCUGUGUGUGUAUGUGUGCUGU
rnacentral:lncRNA from 10 species